UGUUUUAUGGCAAUCCUGAAAAGUUACGCGUUUCUGAGAAAAACCAAUUAUGACUAACGAAAAUUCGGACAAACAAUAUAUUAUGACUUAAAACUACGAGUAUUUGGGAAACAAUAGAGACCCUCGCGUCACAUCGAUGUCGUGGCGUGGAAAUCUACUAUGUGCAUUGAUUGAUUUACGGCAGGAUAUCGUAUUGUUAGUACGAUUUACGGCACGACCUCGUGUUAGACGCCACGAAUUCAAUGUUGAAAUGUAAAAAAAACGAUUGCAGUUAAUUAAGAGAUGAACCGCAACAGACGUGGUCUUGCCCUUAUCUUAUCAUUUUCGGGGGUCCUUCCGGGGAUCACUUCGACCCAUAGGGAUCUUUUGUGCAAUUCCCACCUAGGAAAGAUCCGUCAACUACUCAAGAGUCAAGAACUUUUCCCACCAUCUCCAUGAUCCGGAUGAUGGAGCUCAUGGGUAGCGUAGCCUACUCCAAAGUCCUUCAUUCUUUGUCUGGCGAGGGCGUGACAUUCACACAUUAGGUGUUUUCACAUAUAUACGACAAUCGGUGUUGUCAGAAUGUUCUCCCAUCUUGGCCAGAAUUCUUUUAACCCCGUAAUUGCCAAUAAACACCCCUGUUAUGAUUUGGAGUUGCCUUUUGCUAAGUUUAAAGAUAAAGAGUUUUGCGUGCUUUAGACCCGUCAGACUAUCCCAUUGUGGUCCCGUGGUCUUGUCCUGCUGAUUGCAUCAUGAAUAACCGAAACCACUUCAAGAGAAAGUAUACCUAGUGCUCUGAAAAGUGAUAACAAAAAGUUUUAUGAACUCUUAGAGCCAAAUACUCGAUGAGAUGUCUUUGCCCAAAAUGUUCGCUACCAGGGGUUGGAUGUUCGUCAUUGCAACGUUAUUUAGAGUUGCUCCACCGCCGACCCGUGUCCGAGGUUGUUCUUGCACUAGGCUCGCACUGUCAAAAAGUUAUCAGAUCUUAUGUAGAGCCAAGCUUCUAACUCUACAAGCCCUAAUAACUUCACAAACUCUAGACCUUAGUCAAAAAAUGUGGCUUUGCUGUUUCGUAAGCAUUAAAUCACCCACACGUUGAUGCCUUGGCUAGCUCAAAUAGGCAUUUGUGACAGACAGGAAAAUAGGAACAGAAAUCUUAUAAAAUAGCGUGUUAGCUACUCUGGUAUUAGAGGAAAACGGGACUACAACAAAGCACUCCACACACACAGCAAUCAAUUAUUUGAAAAAGUAGAUAAAAUCUACAAGAUCAAAGAGCCAGAUAUCAGAGUGUUAUAAAUAAACAUCGCGUCGCCGUAUUUGCAGUUUCAAUUUCGCUAUCGAAAAUUUUUUUACUUAUCAUAAAAAUCAUUAAUUUCGUGUAGUUUUCUGUUUCUUGGGAUUUCAGGGCAGAGGAUGCUGGUUAGUAACGAAUAGUGGCAAAAUAUUUUUAACAAUUGGUGCCAUGAACACGAUUGGGUACUUAUACAAAAACAUGUCAUAUAUUGAGGGAGUAUGCGAUUUUUAUAGGACUGAACAUACAUUUUCCGAACCUAAAAAAUAACUUUUUUGCGCCUCAUGACAAUUAUAAUUAUAAUUAAAAGUUAUGUUAAAACUUUCUUAACUAUUAUUUUGGUUGGUUAAGUUGGUGUUGUGUGGUUCUUUGAUUAAAGGGCACAGGCAGGUGGUCGGUGCUGAGCGUGCAACAAUGCGAGAAUGACGCGAAGUUGCUGUGGACGUUGCACGUGCAUCGAUACAAGCUCAACCGCACGCACGACGCGUACGAUAUCGAUGGCAAGGCAUUGGAGGAUUUCGAUGAUUCGGUCGGCAUCCGCAUAAUUUCAUACAAGUUGAUGGACGGCGGAUACAAACAUUUCAUGACAAUGGCGUACGAUUGUGCGCGUAGGUUCAUAUAUGUAGCCGGCAAGGACAACAUGCAGAGAGGGCUCGUACUUGCUGGACUUAACCCGCGUGAAUUCCCCAUUCCAAAAGGAGAAUACCACGUAAAGAACUUCGUUCUAGACAUGGAAAAUCUGUCUCGCCAAGGCGUUUCUAGUGAAGGAUGGGCGUAACUUGACUUGCUUGAAGUUCUUUAUCAGGUUUGAGCCAAAGGACGACUGGUCACCGAUACCAUUGUUAACGAAUCCUUAAAUUGAUAUCCAAACUUGUGACAAGCGUGUAUAUUGAUCUCUUAGCGUCGCGCCAAGACUUUUGAGUUUUGCAAUGCAUUGUUAUUUCAAGUUUAAUCAUAAUGAAUAAAGUUUUGUUUUAUUAC